AUGGCGGAAAUGGUCCGGAAGUGAAAUUUGCCGGUCGAGACCAUUCGGACAGAAUCGAAAAUGGAAAAUACUGUUGUUGGACAUCAUAAUUAUUCGUUUUUCUAGAAUGAAUAUGACAAGAAGAAAAUCGUUAAUCUUUCCCACGGGGUACUAUCGGAUCUGAUCGCAUUAAAAGGAAUCUCCGGUGAUACAAAGGAUUCUUCCGGACUUAUCUUCGAACUGGCAGUAAAAAAGGUUGCUGGUAUCGAAGAAUCAGCAGAACGGGUCGGAAAAGGUUUUCUCCUUCCAUUUGUUUUUUACUACUGAACAUUUUUGAUCAUCUCAAAUAACCCGAAUCUAACACCGUAUGGGAAGGCAUAGGCUCCGAUGGCACCAUUUAUAUUUCCUGUUGUACGUUGCAGUGGAAUUUAUCUGAAACAGUUGUUGGAUUAGCGAGAGAUUCGGAAGAAAAACGUGUCUAGUAGUCUCGAACUUCAGCCCUGAAUCGCAAAUAUAUAAGAAAUAUAUAGAGAAGCAUCGGUCGUUCUCCAAUGAAACCUUCGUUUCAAAACGCAUCUAGUGAAAACGAUGAAUCCGGAUUAAAAAGAAUGUGUACUUCAACUGAAUCUGUCGAUGGAAAAAGUUCGGUCUCCAACUCUUACAAUCUGAUGGAACUGAUCGCCAAUCAUUUGGAUCAAGUGACCAUAAAACAGUCUCCAUUCGUGUUCAUCUCCAACUUUCUCCCGCCAGAAAAAAAAAAUCAAACAAAAUGUUUACCUCUACUGAAGGACUUAACUACUGAAGUCAAAACGUUUGCGACAAACAGAUAACUGUGAUGCGCUUAGACAGACCAGAAUUGGACAAACAUCUGGAAACGGAGCUCCCAAUUACGCAGACGACGAAGAAGAUAAUCCAGCAACGUACACCAUACAGGAUGGCACACGGCGUAAAUCCCUCGAGUGAAAACUUCGAACUGUUCUCCCAGCCUCUACAUUAACACCUUCAUCAAGAAGUCUUCCAUAAUCGUCAGUUCAAUCCAGUCCAAGUAAGAUGCUAAGUCCAAUGGCCAUCUUCCCAGUAAUCCUAAUCAACCUGAAACGCCAGUCCGAAUCUGGAAGUAAUCAUUCUGCGAGGCACUAAGAAUCCAGCGUUCGUUUCAUAUUAUUGAAAAUCUGUGGUCACGACUCUAACCGAUGAUAAUGUUGAUAAAUUUUUUAGU